rnacentral:lncRNA from 1 species
CUUUCUUGAUACAACAUCUAUAGCACAGACAACAAAAGCAAGAAUAGAUAAUGGACAACAUCUGCCCAUACUACAGAAGGGGACAAAAAUCAGCGCAGGAGACAACCUGUAGAUGUGAGGAAACACUUGAAUCUGAAUUUCCAAAAUAUAUAAGAAUGUCCUAGAGUUUAAUGGGAAAAAUGUUACCAAUCCAGUGAAACUAUGGCCCAAAAGCUGAGAGAGACAUCUCUGGAAGGAGGGCUGUCUGUUUAUGAUUGUAAGCAUCCCCCAGGAAAGGCAUGGGUGUGAGCAAUGCAAUGGUGCCCAAUGACUUUCCCCAGGGACCUGAGGUCUGAUCCCUAGCCAAUGGGGACCUUGAUUACAAUGAUCAAUUUCAUGGUAAAAUUUAAAAAUUUGCCAUAAUAAGUAUACAUAAGUUAUUUGAGUUGGAAUUCUUGGGUUAAAGGAAAGUGUGCACUACAAAUUUUGGUAUAUAUUUUAAGCUGCUCUGCAGAAGGGUUAUGACAACUUUUCAUUGCAAUUAUCAGAGCAUGACAAUUCCAUUUUCCAACACUGUCAACAUUAGGUUUUCUCAUUCUCUUUAUUCUUUUUAUGUGAUAUGCACACACACAAAUGUACUUUAUAUAUUCUUUGGAUUACUCUAUUGACAUGAAAUGCCAUCUCAAGUGUAUGGUAUGUGCUAUUUUAUAAACAGCCUACAUUUGUCUUUUCCCAUUUUUAUUAAGGUGUUUGUUUCUUUUUCUUGAAUUUUAUGAGCUCCGUAUAUGAUUAACCUCUAGUGAGCUGUUCAGAAACCCAAAGGAACAUCAUCAAAAUACUGUUUUCUACCAACUGGGAACAAUUUUGCCUCAUGUAGAGAGCCCUUUGCCAGCUUGGGAAUUCUGGUUCUAUUUCCAAAUUUCAGAUGUGAAAUCAAAUUUUUCAGAUGGGGCAUUCUGGUGAAUAUGAUUGAUACUGGUGAAAGUCAGG